UGGGGAAUUUUGGACAAUGGGGGAAACCCUGAUCCAGCCAUCCCGCGUGUGCGAUGAAGGCCUUCGGGUUGUAAAGCACUUUUGGCAGGAAAGAAACGUCAUGGGUUAAUACCCCGUGAAACCGACGGUACCUGCAGAAUAAGCACCGGCUAACUACGUGCCAGCAGCCGCGGUAAUACGUAGGGUGCAAGCGUUAAUCGGAAUUACUGGGCGUAAAGCGUGCGCAGGCGGUUCGGAAAGAAAGAUGUGAAAUCCCAGAGCUCAACUUUGGAACUGCAUUUUUAACUACCGGGCUAGAGUGUGUCAGAGGGAGGUGGAAUUCCGCGUGUAGCAGUGAAAUGCGUAGAUAUGCGGAGGAACACCGAUGGCGAAGGCAGCCUCCUGGGAUAACACUGACGCUCAUGCACGAAAGCGUGGGGAGCAAACAGG
rnacentral:rRNA from 1 species